rnacentral:rRNA from 1 species
CAGUCGCCGCGGUAAUACGUAGGUCCCGAGCGUUGUCCGGAUUUAUUGGGCGUAAAGCGAGCGCAGGCGGUUUGAUAAGUCUGAAGUUAAAGGCUGUGGCUCAACCAUAGUUCGCUUUGGAGACCGUCAAACUUGAGUGCAGAAGGGGAGAGUGGAAUUCCAUGUGUAGCGGUGAAAUGCGUAGAUAUAUGGAGGAACACCGGUGGCGAAAGCGGCUCUCUGGUCUGUAACUGACGCUGAGGCUCGAAAGCGUGGGGAGCGAACAGGAUUAGAUACCCCAGUAGUCCCUGUCUCUUAUACC